UGUACUUAAGUAUGUUUUAGUUUAAUGUGUGGACAAAGACUUAUGGAUAGGUGCAAAAAACAAAUCCUUUUUUGCAACCCAGAACGCAUUGUUCAGCAUGAUUUUUGAUAUGUAUAAGAAGGAAUAUU
ensembl:snoRNA